rnacentral:rRNA from 1 species
AAAGCUACCCUGGGGAUAACAGGCUUAUCUCCCCCAAGAGUCCACAUCGACGGGGAGGUUUGGCACCUCGAUGUCGGCUCAUCACAUCCUGGGGCUGUAGUAGGUCCCAAGGGUUGGGCUGUUCGCCCAUUAAAGUGGUACGCGAGCUGGGUUCAGAACGUCGUGAGACAGUUCGGUCCCUAUCCGUCGCAGGCGUAGGAAAUUUGAGAAGACCUGUCCUUAGUACGAGAGGACCGGGAUGGACGU